rnacentral:rRNA from 1 species
ACUCUACGGGAGGCAGCAGUGAGGAAUAUUGGUCAAUGGACGAGAGUCUGAACCAGCCAAGUAGCGUGAAGGAUGAAGGUUUAUGGAUUGUAAACUUCUUUUAUACGGGAAUAACGAAUCCACGCGUGGAUUUUUGCAUGUACCGUAUGAAUAAGGAUCGGCUAACUCCGUGCCAGCAGCCGCGGUAAUACGGAGGAUCCGAGCGUUAUCCGGAUUUAUUGGAUUUAAAGGGAGCGUAGAUGGGUUGUUAAGUCAGUUGUGAAAGUUUGCGGCUCAACCGUAAAAUUGCAAUUGAUACUGGCAGUCUUGAGUACAGUUGAGGUAGGCGGAAUUCGUGGUGUAGCGGUGAAAUGCUUAGAUAUCACGAAGAACUCCGAUUGCGAAGGCAGCUUACUAACCUGUAACUGACAUUGAUGCUCGAAAGUGUGGGUAU